GAUGAAGAACGUAGCGAAAUGCGAUAAGUAAUGUGAAUUGCAGAAUUCAGUGAAUCAUCGAAUCUUUGAACGCACCUUGCACCCUUUGGCAUUCCGAAGGGUAUGCUCGUUUGAGUAUCAUUGUACUCUCACACUUCCGAUCUUUGGAUUGGGAGCGGUGGACUUGGGUGUUGCUGCUUACUGUGGCUCACCUCAAAUCGAUUCGUGCACCUCUUGGUUGGACAUAGUACGGCGUGAUAAGUGUCUUCGCCGGCACCUCAGUAGAGGGUGGCUGAUCGGGAGCUCUGCUUCAAACCGUCCUCGGACAACAACUGACAACUUGACCUCAAAUCGAGUAGGACUACCCGCUGAACUUAAGCAUAUCAAUAAGCGGAGGA
rnacentral:misc_RNA from 1 species